UACCUCGUAGCUCAGUUGGCAGAGCAUUGAACUGUGAUUCCCAAAGGUUGCGGGUUCGAUUCCCACCGUGGAAC